UACGUAGGGGGCAAGCGUUGUCCGGAUUUAUUGGGCGUAAAGAGCGUGUUGGCGGCUGGAUAGGUCCGUUGUGAAAACUCGAGGCUCAACCUCGAGACGCCGAUGGAAACCAUCCAGCUAGAGUCCGGAAGAGGAGAGUGGAAUUCCUGGUGUAGCGGUGAAAUGCGCAGAUAUCAGGAAGAACACCAAUGGCGAAAGCAGCUUUCUGGGACGGUACUGACGCUGAGACGCGAAAGCGUGGGGAGCGAACAGG
rnacentral:rRNA from 1 species